AAUUUAAAUAUAUAUAUAAUUAUACAGUUAAUUGUAAUUCAGUUUAUAUUUUUAUAUUUAAUAACUAUAAUUCAUUAAAUAACUAAUUUCAUAUCUACAAAAUAUAUAAGUAUACCUAUCUAUAUGCAUUUAAUUCAUAAAAUAAUAUUACUUGCAUGCAUACACACAUAUAUAAUAUAAUAAUGACUAAUAAUACUAAUGAUAAUAAUAGUCGUAAAACACUGUAGAUAAUAAUUAACACAUGAGGCAGUAUGGACAACAGACAACACACAAAGGACAAAACAAACACUCCAGAGCCACGUACCAUCAUUUUUAACUUAUUAUCAUUAACUUUAUAUUAUUAUUAUUAUUAUUUAUUUAUUAAAAUUGUUAUUGUCAUUAUUAACUAUGUGUGGUGUGAAGUGUUUGUGUUGAGUGCAUCAAAAACACAGGGCUUUUGUGAGGUCAUAUCACGAGAUGCCCUGAGAUGUCACUGCCCACUAGACCUGGUAAAGGUAUGAGGUCGUUGCAUUAAUAUGUCAUACACUAGCUGUAUUA